UUGGUGUCAAAGUUAUGUCAGCCUCAAAAGAGUUAUGCUAGAAAUGUCUUAUCUUUUUCUAUUGUCUAGAAGUUUGUUUUAGACUGAUAUUUAUUCUUAUUUUACUAUUUAAAAGAAUUCAUCUCUGAGGUUUUUGGGCUGGAAAUUUCUUUCUAAAAUGUUUUAAAUUAAUACUUUAUUUAUUAGAGAUUGGAAAAUGCACAUUUUCUGUCUAUUCGUAUGUAAUUUUGUAUAAUUUUUUCUCCUAGGAUUUCUCUGUUUAAACUGAAUUUUUAACUUUAAUUGUCACUAUGUUAUUUCUAAUGUUAUGCAGCUAGUAUUUAUUUAAAAUUAUCCCUAUAUUUAACCAUUUUUUACUCUUUAUUCUUUUCUAGAUUUCUAUGCUUCCUUUUAGAAUAGUUUUUCUCCUACCUAAAGAACUCUAGUAUUUCUUUUAAUAGAGAUCUGCUGGUGAUAGAUUCUCUGUUUUGUUUGCUGAAAAUAUAUUUUUGCCUAAAUUUUGAAUCAAAUUUUCACUAAAUAUAAAAUUAAAGUUCAUCAGUUUGUACUUUAAAGAUGGCUACAGCUUUCAUCAUUUUUUGAUGAGAAAUGAGCUGCCAGUCAUUGUUGCUCCUUUAUAUUUCCUGUCUGCUUUUACGAAUUUCUCUGUCAUUGCUUAUCAGCAGUUUGAUUAUUAUCUGCUGUGGUGUGUUUUCUUUUCACUUACCCUACUUGGGACUGGUAGCACUUUUUGAACUUGUCAACUUUGAAAAUCUAUCCUUUUUUAUAUAUCAUAUAAUCUGUCACAUUCUCUUUCUCAUCUAAUUCUAGGAAUUCAUUAACACACACUUAGUUGUUUUCUAUAUGAUCUAUAUGUGUUUUAUAGCAUUUUAAAAUAAUUGUAUAGCUUUCAUCUUUUUUCUCUAUUGCUGCUUUGUUUUGGAUUUAUUUAUUAACUUUCCUCCUAGUUCACCUACCAUCUCUUCUGCUGAGUCAUAUCAUACCUACCUAUUGAAUUGUUAAUCUCACUUAAUUGAAUUUUCUCAGUUCUUGAAUUUCCAUUGAUUCUUUUUCAUAGAUCUAGUUCUCCAGAGAAAUUAUCUUCUCAUGUUUUAAAAUUAACUAUUAAAGUUUAUAUUGAAGCAUAACAUAUUAUAUAUUCAGAAAAGUACUUAUAUCUUAGGGAUAUCAUUUGUUUCUUUAACAUAUCAACCAUGGCUAUUUCAAGGGGCAUUUCUAAUAACUCCAACAUUUGAAUGUAGGUUUGUUCUAUUUCCUAUUUUUUAAACUCUUGUUUCUUGGUAAGCUGGUAGGUUUUUACUGAAUGACAGCUAUUGUUAACAAAAAAUUAUAGGUGAUUUGAAUGAUAUCUUCCUUUAGAACGGUUUUACUUUUGCUUCUAACAUGCACAUAGAACAAGGGCACAUCACUUUCAGUCAGCUACGGGGCUGGGUGGAAUUGAGGACAAAGUUUUAGUUUCUAUAAGGGUUGUUCAUUAUCAGUUUGCCCCAUCCCUAUCCUUAAUGUUAACCCUAACCUUAACCCUGAGCUGUUUAGGAGGGCAUGUCCCCACUCGUGAACCCCAAAGUCUGAUUUUUGUCCUCUCGGAAUUGUGUGAUUGCUAAAAGUUCUGCUUAGCUUCUCAAAGCCUUCAGUCCUCUCAUCUUCUUAGCCUCCCUUCCUGCUCUGUGGAUGAGUCGGCCAUUAUUGCCUUGAGAGAAAAAGUAACACACGGAGCUGCUCUUACUCCUUUGCAUUUUCCUUCACCGCAGGAUCUUGAAUCCUCGUCUUAGCUUUCCUUUCAACCCUGAACUUGACUUUUUGUUUCCCCUGUCCCUUGAGGCUGCCAGAAGCUUUACUCAGCAGCUGUUUUCUGCUCAGCUUUCUGUUCAGCCCCUCAGCCUCUUGCUCUGCACUGAAGUGUCCAGCCCACUGCAGUGUGGUUUCUUCUCAGGGAUCCUGGCUCCUCAAGUCCUGGCUUCCUUGGGGCCUCUUUGCUAACUUCAAACAUUUUUUGAUAAUCCAGACUUUUAAGUCCAAGUUUGGAGUGUUAUAAACUAGUCUAUUGUAGACAAAGUAGAAGUUUUAUCUCCCUUUGUUUUUCUUUCUCUCUUCAAUUUUAAAAAUAUCUAUUCAAAAAUGUGUCAUGCAGACAAUUUUUCUUAUGGAUAUAACUGUGUCAGUUUGAAGAUAUAUAUUUGAC